UGGGGAAUUUUGGACAAUGGGCGAAAGCCUGAUCCAGCAAUGCCGCGUGUGUGAAGAAGGCCUUCGGGUUGUAAAGCACUUUGUCCGGAAAGAAAUCCUUGGCUCUAAUACAGUCGGGGGAUGACGGUCCGGAAGAAUAAGCACCGGCUAACUACGUGCCAGCAGCCGCGGUAAUACGUAGGGUGCAAGCGUUAAUCGGAAUUACUGGGCGUAAAGCGUGCGCAGGCGGUUUGCUAAGACCGAUGUGAAAUCCCCGGGCUCAACCUGGGAACUGCAUUGGUGACUGGCAGGCUAGAGUAUGGCAGAGGGGGGUAGAAUUCCACGUGUGAGCAGUGAAAUGCGUAGAGAUGUGGAGGAAUACCGAUGGCGAAGGCAG
rnacentral:rRNA from 1 species